rnacentral:rRNA from 1 species
UGAGGAAUAUUGGUCAAUGGGCGCAAGCCUGAACCAGCCAUCCCGCGUGCAGGAAGACGGCCCUAUGGGUUGUAAACUGCUUUUCCAGGGGACGAAUAGCUUUUACGUGUAAGGGCAUGACGGUACCUUGGGAAUAAGCAUCGGCUAACUCCGUGCCAGCAGCCGCGGUAAUACGGAGGAUGCAAGCGUUAUCCGGAUUCAUUGGGUUUAAAGGGUGCGUAGGCGGAUUGAUAAGUCAGUGGUGAAAUCCUACAGCUUAACUGUAGAACUGCCAUUGAUACUGUUAGUCUUGAGUUUGGUUAAGGUAGGCGGAAUGUGUAAUGUAGCGGUGAAAUGCUUAGAUAUUACACAGAACACCAAUUGCGUAGGCAGCUUACUGGACCGACACUGACGCUGAGGCACGAAAGCGUGGGGAUCGAACA